CAACGUUGAUUUGUGGUUAAAAAUAUCAACGUUGAACUGUCAACGUUGAAUCAACAUUGAAUUUAAGUUAAUGCUUUCAAUGUUUUGAUAGGUUGAAAUUAUAACGUUGAUAAAAGGUUUAUUUAAGGUUAAUGACUUUAAGUGUCGACCGAAAUUUCAAUCCAGAUGAGAUUGAAUCAUUUUAUAUAUAAUAUACAACUUUGUAGAAAUUAUUGGGAAUAAAUGUUAAUAAUUUGGAAUUCACUAGAACAUGGUAUUGUUUUACAUAUUGAUUUUCAUUAUUGAUUUCUCUUUUUGUUGAUUUUUUUUUAUUACUAUAUAGAAACCCCAAGUCAGGCCAUAGAUCUUCCGUGGGCUAUUCCUGAAAUAUCCUCUCCAACAUUGUUUUGACAAAGACAAAUAAAAUCCUUCCUGUUUAAAUAAUCACAUUUUAUUUAUAUUGCUUUACUGAUGUUUUUGAAUAAAUUCAAUGAUUACUGUUGCAUGUGUAUAUAAAUCUUCAAAUUUACACAAUAAGAGCGAAUUAAUUAACUUACGCGAAAGAGAUUUCUUUUUUAAUUUGCGCAUGCGUAUGAGGCCGGCAUUUCGAAUUUAUUUGCGCCAAUAUGAUUACCACAACAAGUUAACAGUUGCUCGAAGCAGUGCAAAAUUUCUUCACCAAUAAACCCAUGUCUGAAAAAUACAUGACGGGUAAAAAGAAUAAACAUGCCUUUGGUGGUUCAAGCUUUUUUUAAAUAAUAAGAGAUGCUAUAGCUACAAGUCACAAAUGUGCAACAUGGACAACAAUAUGGAUCUAGUGUGCAAUAUACCUAAAAUACGCCCUGAAAUAUCGGGAAUGUGUCUAGCAAAAGGACUAACAUUUUAAAUAAAAUUAAGUAUUCAGUUUGUGUUUGUUUGAAAUUGUAAGAUGCAUAUGUGAGCAACAUGUUAUAUAAUUACUGUUUUAUGUCACAAACAUAUUUUGUGUAUGAACAAACAUGAUCCUGUCUAUUACAAAAAUGUAUGGCAACUGACACUACAAUAAAGUUUAAGAUUAUCUAUG